rnacentral:rRNA from 1 species
GGGUUGUGAGGUUAAGCGACUAAGCGUACACGGUGGAUGCCCUGGCAGUCAGAGGCGAUGAAGGACGUGCUAAUCUGCGAUAAGCGUCGGUAAGGUGAUAUGAACCGUUAUAACCGGCGAUUUCCGAAUGGGGAAACCCAGUGUGWUUCGWCACACUAUCAUUAACUGAAUCCAUAGGUUAAUGAGGCGAACCGGGGGAACUGAAACAUCUAAGUACCCCGAGGAAAAGAAAUCAACCGAGAUUCCCCCAGUAGCGGCGAGCGAACGGGGAGCAGCCCAGAGCCUGAAUCAGUGUGUGUGUUAGUGGAAGCGUCUGGAAAGGCGCGCGAUACAGGGUGACAGCCCCGUACACAAAAAUGCACAUGCUGUGAGCUCGAUGAGUAGGGCGGGACACGUGGUAUCCUGUCUGAAUAUGGGGGGACCAUCCUCCAAGGCUAAAUACUCCUGACUGACCGAUAGUGAACCAGUACCGUGAGGGAAAGGCGAAAAGAACCCCGGCGAGGGGAGUGAAAAAGAACCUGAAACCGUGUACGUACAAGCAGUGGGAGCACGCUUAGGCGUGUGACUGCGUACCUUUUGUAUAAUGGGUCAGCGACUUAUAUUCUGUAGCAAGGUUAACCGAAUAGGGGAGCCGAAGGGAAACCGAGUCUUAACUGGGCGUUAAGUUGCAGGGUAUAGACCCGAAACCCGGUGAUCUAGCCAUGGGCAGGUUGAAGGUUGGGUAACACUAACUGGAGGACCGAACCGACUAAUGUUGAAAAAUUAGCGGAUGACUUGUGGCUGGGGGUGAAAGGCCAAUCAAACCGGGAGAUAGCUGGUUCUCCCCGAAAGCUAUUUAGGUAGCGCCUCGUGAAUUCAUCUCCGGGGGUAGAGCACUGUUUCGGCAAGGGGGUCAUCCCGACUUACCAACCCGAUGCAAACUGCGAAUACCGGAGAAUGUUAUCACGGGAGACACACGGCGGGUGCUAACGUCCGUCGUGAAGAGGGAAACAACCCAGACCGCCAGCUAAGGUCCCAAAGUCAUGGUUAAGUGGGAAACGAUGUGGGAAGGCCCAGACAGCCAGGAUGUUGGCUUAGAAGCAGCCAUCAUUUAAAGAAAGCGUAAUAGCUCACUGGUCGAGUCGGCCUGCGCGGAAGAUGUAACGGGGCUAAACCAUGCACCGAAGCUGCGGCAGCGACGCUKAUGCGUUGUUGGGUAGGGGAGCGUUCUGUAAGCCUGYGAAGGUGUGCUGUGAGGCAYGCUGGAGGUAUCAGAAGUGCGAAUGCUGACAUAAGUAACGAUAAAGCGGGUGAAAAGCCCGCUCGCCGGAAGACCAAGGGUUCCUGUCCAACGUUAAUCGGGGCAGGGUGAGUCGACCCCUAAGGCGAGGCCGAAAGGCGUAGUCGAUGGGAAACAGGUUAAUAUUCCUGUACUUGGUGUUACUGCGAAGGGGGGACGGAGAAGGCUAUGUUGGCCGGGCGACGGUUGUCCCGGUUUAAGCGUGUAGGCUGGUUUUCCAGGCAAAUCCGGAAAAUCAAGGCUGAGGCGUGAUGACGAGGCACUACGGUGCUGAAGCAACAAAUGCCCUGCUUCCAGGAAAAGCCUCUAAGCAUCAGGUAACAUCAAAUCGUACCCCAAACCGACACAGGUGGUCAGGUAGAGAAUACCAAGGCGCUUGAGAGAACUCGGGUGAAGGAACUAGGCAAAAUGGUGCCGUAACUUCGGGAGAAGGCACGCUGAUAUGUAGGUGAAGUCCCUCGCGGAUGGAGCUGAAAUCAGUCGAAGAUACCAGCUGGCUGCAACUGUUUAUUAAAAACACAGCACUGUGCAAACACGAAAGUGGACGUAUACGGUGUGACGCCUGCCCGGUGCCGGAAGGUUAAUUGAUGGGGUUAGCGCAAGCGAAGCUCUUGAUCGAAGCCCCGGUAAACGGCGGCCGUAACUAUAACGGUCCUAAGGUAGCGAAAUUCCUUGUCGGGUAAGUUCCGACCUGCACGAAUGGCGUAAUGAUGGCCAGGCUGUCUCCACCCGAGACUCAGUGAAAUUGAACUCGCUGUGAAGAUGCAGUGUACCCGCGGCAAGACGGAAAGACCCCGUGAACCUUUACUAUAGCUUGACACUGAACAUUGAGCCUUGAUGUGUAGGAUAGGUGGGAGGCUUUGAAGUGUGGACGCCAGUCUGCAUGGAGCCGACCUUGAAAUACCACCCUUUAAUGUUUGAUGUUCUAACGUKGACCCGURAUCCGGGUUGCGGACAGUGUCUGGUGGGUAGUUUGACUGGGGCGGUCUCCUCCUAAAGAGUAACGGAGGAGCACGAAGGUUGGCUAAUCCUGGUCGGACAUCAGGAGGUUAGUGCAAUGGCAUAAGCCAGCUUGACUGCGAGCGUGACGGCGCGAGCAGGUGCGAAAGCAGGUCAUAGUGAUCCGGUGGUUCUGAAUGGAAGGGCCAUCGCUCAACGGAUAAAAGGUACUCCGGGGAUAACAGGCUGAUACCGCCCAAGAGUUCAUAUCGACGGCGGUGUUUGGCACCUCGAUGUCGGCUCAUCACAUCCUGGGGCUGAAGUAGGUCCCAAGGGUAUGGCUGUUCGCCAUUUAAAGUGGUACGCGAGCUGGGUUUAGAACGUCGUGAGACAGUUCGGUCCCUAUCUGCCGUGGGCGCUGGAGAACUGAGGGGGGCUGCUCCUAGUACGAGAGGACCGGAGUGGACGCAUCACUGGUGUUCGGGUUGUCAUGCCAAUGGCACUGCCCGGUAGCUAAAUGCGGAAGAGAUAAGUGCUGAAAGCAUCUAAGCACGAAACUUGCCCCGAGAUGAGUUCUCCCUGACYCYUURAGRGUCCUGAAGGAACGUUGAAGACGACGACGUUGAUAGGCCGGGUGUGUAAGCGCAGCGAUGCGUUGAGCUAACCGGUACUAAUGAACCGUGAGGCUUAACCUUACAACGCCGAAGRUGUU